GAUGAAGAACGCAGCGAAAUGCGAUACGUAAUGUGAAUUGCAGAAUUCAGUGAAUCAUCGAGUCUUUGAACGCACAUUGCGCCCUCUGGUAUUCCGGAGGGCAUGCCUGUCCGAGCGUCAUUGCUGCCCUCAAGCACGGCUUGUGUGUUGGGCUCCGUCCUCCUUCCGGGGGACGGGCCCGAAAGGCAGCGGCGGCACCGCGUCCGGUCCUCAAGCGUAUGGGGCUUUGUCACCCGCUUUGUAGGACUGGCCGGCGCCUGCCGAUCAACCAAACUUUUUUCCAGGUUGACCUCGGAUCAGGUAGGGAUACCCGCUGAACUUAAGCAUAUCAUAAGCGGAGGA
rnacentral:misc_RNA from 1 species